AGUUGGCGGGUCCCGCGAGCGCGCGGCUGCUUCUCUCCCUCAGACGCAUUCAGGUUGGAAAAGCAGAAUCAAAAAGUCCAGCCGCCCAGUUAAGACUACACGUGCACCGCUAAGCCAUGGCAUAAAAGAAAUGUGCCCUAAUAUCCAACCUGAUCCUCCUCUGGUGCAGCUUCAGGUCAUUCCCUCCACCGCCUUCCUGGCGGCUUUUAGCCAGCACUGGGCUGUGAGCAGUCUCCGAUGAGCUGGAUGUUAUCUACCAUCAGAACUGAUGAAGGAGUGCUUUCCUGCACACUCUGGAUCUUCUGGGCCACGCGUGGGAGGAGAAAGAACAUCCAGGGUUCAUUAAGAUUGGUCGGAUUUCAUUGCAGAAGGUCGGACCGGAGGAAGAUGAGCAAAGUAAGAUAUGGAGAUAGGAAGUAUUAUUAUCAAAUUUCAUAUGUUACUCUUUCACUGUCUCAUUGCUCCUCAUUCUCCCACCUCAUUUAAAGCAAAGAGUGACAAUGUGUGGCAAUAUUGGUUGGCUAAUAAUAACUGCUUUGUAUUUCAUAAUAAUGUUAAUACAUUUCUUACUGGCAUCUCUGGGGCCAGGACAAGAGGAGCUGUGCUCAGCGACCACCCUAUGAAAGAACAAAUAAGAGAUUGUGAGAUUAUACUUUGUUCUCUUUAGUGGCACUGAUAGUUCUGUAAGGAAAAAAGGACAUGUCAUAUAUAUGAAAACAGACAUUAUGCUGGUAGAAAAGUCAACUAAAUAAUGAUACUUUUACUGCCCGUACAUGAGUUUUAAAAGAAGCUACUAAGAUAUGUCUUACCUUUACAGUCAUCUGUUGUCUCAGUGUUUGGAGAAGGUGGUCAAAGAGUCAAAGAUAAUUUGCACACGUAAAGAACAUGUGGGUGCCCCAUCCCUGGGGAUGCUCACGGCCAGGCUGGAUGGGGCCUUGUGCAGCCUGAUCUGGUGCCUGGUUUAGUGCAUGGCAACCCUGAGAAAAAUUAAAAGAGAACUUCUGUGUUGGAAGGCAACGUGGGAGAAAGGGAAAGGGCCAUAUUCUGCUAACAUGGAGUUGCAGCCUUGGAUUUUCUGGGCAGUUCUCUCUAAUACCCCUCUCCUUCACUGCCAACUUCAGGUUCAGUCAUGUCCUUAAUAACAAAUACCAGCUGAUUUUUCUGAUGCUCAGUACUUUAAAAGCAAAAUGUUAACGUAUAGAUACUGAAUCUUUCAUCAUGGCUGCCUGGAGCAUGGACCAUGCACAAAACUGAUAUGUGUUCCUCUCACGUACAUUGACAGUGUGUGGAGACCUUCAUUUUUCUAAGCUCGAAGUCCAUUUUCACCUUCAAUUAUAAGCGUUCCAGAGGGCAUCUCAUUCAGGUUCCUGAAUAAAGAAAGCAUGCCAUAGAUACAAGGAACAUUUUUUUUCUGCUAAUUAACUGUAAUUGGAUUUUUCAAUCCAGUAAUUAGUAGGAGCGUUGGCUGUAAGUUUCUGUGACAAAAGAAAACUUGUAGCACAGGACAAGAGUUCUUAGUGGAGAUUCAGAUUCUUUGAGAAGCAGCACCAGUGAAAAAUGUUUUACCUUGUUGGGCCUGGCUGCAGUGUCAGUGGUAGCUCUUGGUGGUUUUCCCUUUAGCACAGGUCACUCUCCCUGUACUGAAAUGUUGCUUUCAGAGGUUCUCUGGUGGCUGUUGGCAUCCUAAACCUAGGAGGUGCAAGGUCCCAGAAGCUUGUGUUCAGGAGGAAUCCUCCUUUGCUUUGAAUCCUGGCAUUCCCUGGUGAAUCACAGCAGAGGCAGAUGAGGCUGUUUCACAGAUAUAUAGACUGCAUAGAAAGGAGUUUGCUAUUUCAGUGCUUUAUCCACGAUCUGAUUACUCCUGAGUGGAUGCCAAAUUAACAUCUGAUUCACUUCUUUGGCAGUUUGUUGUUUUUGAAGAUGCAGCUAAACUGUUUUGGACUUGACUUUGAGCGUGCGGUCCUACCAUUCACACUCCCAAGUUAAGCAAAUGAUAGUAAGUGCUAAAUAACCCAUGCAGUUUUGCUAUAGUUUUUCUGAGCUAGAAGAACUGGAAUUACACUUGUGCAGCAAGAUAGCUUACCUGCAGUUUUAAAUUGAGAUUAUAACAACUAGAAAAGCUGGAUACUCUUGGCAGCCUUUACACUCAAAGCCUGAUCAAUCAAACCAGGGGAUUACUAGAAGGAUCACAAGAGUGUAGCACAAUUAAGUUGUUUUGUGCUUCAUCUCAUUUAAAAGUAAGCCCACAUCUUUACAAUUUAUCCUGUUAAUUAACCUUGUCUACUUCUGUGACAAAAGAGAAUCUGGACUGAGAGUCUGAUCCUACAAAAGGCUGCAGAGGCUUGGAUACUGCAGAGUGUAUCCCAGCAAUGACUGUAACUACACAGUAAGAUAUGGUUUCACCUUUCCGUACCUGAGAUAUCAUUAUUGUCAUUAAUUCUAGUAUAUGAACACAGAUGCUUGAGAGUGCUUUCUGUCAGAAAUUGUUAUUGUUAUUCUCAUGUUUUCUAACUACGUUCAUUACAUUUGUCAUUCUAUUAGUAGAACUUCUCUGCUGUAAUGAUUUUACAUUUUUGUCUGAAUUACAACUGUUGUCACGUUUUAAUAUACCUCCAUGUAUAGCUUCUUUGCUAAAGUCCUCAUUUCUUUCUACAAAGAUCAUGCAAUGAUUUAUUUCCUUGUUUUAUUUUUUUGUGCACAAUAAUGAAAUGCUCUUCUAUUUUAUUUCUUGCCUUCUCCUGGAUGAGCAGUUUCCUUUGGAUGUUUUCUACCUUUUGAAUGUAAACUUUCUACCCAGAACUAGCAAAAAAGAAGUGAAAGUAUUCAAUUUGGACUCUUUUAUGAGAAAUUCAAAAUGAAUACUUUUAAAAGAUACGUUUAGAAGUAAUACACAUUACCACAAAGAAUGCUACUAAGUGUUAAAAGUCCUUUAUGGGCCUAUCAAUUCCUCAGAGCUAAACAUUAAUCAUGAGCAAGGCACUGAGAUUGUUGUUCCUUAAAUUAUUUCUGAUACUGUUUGAUGUUCAGUAUUAACUUUGUUGUUUGGUGAGGGCAUAAACUGCUGUGCUUAAAGUUGUCUGACAUCCAUCGUAAAGAGCUAUAAACUCUGCUACGUCCUUUUUGGAUUUGUUGUUUGGUCCUGGGGUAGGGUCAUGUAAAAAUGCCAAGGGCAUCUCAGCUCAAAUACACUUACCUUGCAUAUAAAGUUAUUCAG
ensembl:lncRNA